GCUGUUGUGGCUCAGUGUUAGAGCAUUCGCCCAGCACGUGGGAGGUCCUGGGUUCGAUCCUCAGCACCACA
rnacentral:tRNA from 1 species